rnacentral:lncRNA from 1 species
CCGAUUUCCUCAUCAUUUCACAUCAGCAGUAGCAUUGCUGGACCUGGGUACUGGUGGUGGAUGCUUGGGAGCAGGUCUUGCAGGAGCAAUGUGAGGCAGCGCUUUUGUGUGUCCAAGCCCUGGGGUGCACGCACUGUUAUAACGAGUUUUGUUCAGGGGAUCUGCUGGUAGAGGCUUCCGAGGAGGGCUUGGCUUGUGGUUUUCCUGGGGGAGCCUGAGAGUGGGGUUAGCAGGAAGGGGCCUUU